UUUCUGUACCACUUGGUGGCGACAAUCUACCACUUCGUUGUUUGACCCUCGAAGAAGAAGAACAGGAAGAAGAAGACACACGAAGAAGAAAAAGAAGCAGAAGGAGGACAACCAUGAGUGUUGGUGUUGGCGGUCAGCUGCAGAAAAGAAGUUCCCUUGAAGUGAGCCACGUGUGGAUGUGACUUGCAUGUAUGUAUGUCUAAAUGCCCAACAACAUAUUGUUAACUAAAUAUGCUUCCCAAUGAUUAUACCAAUCACUACCCAUCUGACCCAUUCAUAUGUCUGGGGAAGAUUAUACACACGCUUUCAAAUGAGGGUGU